rnacentral:rRNA from 1 species
CACGUAGGGGGCGAGCGUUGUCCGGAUUUAUUGGGCGUAAAGAGCUCGUAGGUGGCUUAGUAAGUCGGGUGUGAAACCUCCAGGCUCAACCUGGAGACGCCACCCGAUACUGCUAUAGCUUGAGUCCGGUAGGGGAGCGUGGAAUUCCUGGUGUAGCGGUGAAAUGCGCAGAUAUCAGGAGGAACACCAGCGGCGAAGGCGGCGCUCUGGGCCGGUACUGACACUGAGGAGCGAAAGCGUGGGAGCAACAGG